CCUACGGGAGGCAGCAGUGGGGAAUAUUGCACAAUGGGGGAAACCCUGAUGCAGCGACGCCGCGUGGGUGAAGGAGUAUUUCGUUAUGUAAAGCCCUAUCAGCAGGGAAGAUAAUGACGGUACCUGACUAAGAAGCCCCGGCUAACUACGUGCCAGCAGCCGCGGUAAUACGUAGGGGGCAAGCGUUAUCCGGAUUUACUGGGUGGAAAGGGAGCGUAGACGGCAGCGCCAGCCUGGAGUGAAAGGAUGGGGCGCAACCCCAUGACUGCUCUGGGAACUGUGCGUCUAGAGUGCCGGAGGGGUAAGCGGAAUUCCUAGUGUAGCGGGGAAAUGCGUAGAUAUUAGGAGGAACACCAGUGGCGAAGGCGGCUGACUGGACGGUAACUGACGUUGAGGCUCGAAAGCGUGGGGAGCAAACAGGAUUAGAUACCCCAGUAGUC
rnacentral:rRNA from 1 species